GACGUAGGGCGCGAGCGUUGUCCGGAUUUAUUGGGCGUAAAGAGCUCGUAGGCGGCUUGUUGCGUCAGCUGUGAAAACCCGCAGCUCAACUGUGGGCUUGCAGCUGAUACGGGCAGGCUUGAGUUCGGUAGGGGAGACUGAAAUUCCUGGUGUAGCGGUGAAAUGCGCAGAUAUCAGGAGGAACACCGGUGGCGAAGGCGGGUCUCUGGGCAGUAACUGACGCUGAGGAGCGAAAGCGUGGGGAGCGAACAGG
rnacentral:rRNA from 1 species